rnacentral:SRP_RNA from 1 species
GCCAGGCGUGGUGGUGCACGCCUGUAAUCCUAGCUACUCAGGAGGCUGAGGCAGGAGAAUUACUUGAACCCGGGAGGCGGAGGUUGCAGUGAGCUGAGAUCAUGCCACUGCACUCCAGCCUGGGUGACAGAGUGAGACUCUGUCUCAG